rnacentral:tRNA from 1 species
GCGGGGUGGAGCAGCCUGGUAGCUCGUCGGGCUCAUAACCCGAAGGUCGCGGGUUCAAAUCCCGCCCCCGCAACCA